GAAUGCUCUAGACCCCAGUUAAUGAAGGAAGCAGCUUGAAAACCACAGGAUUCCCCGCGCAUUUUCAGGAAUCAGAUUCACUUUCAUGUUUGCCAAGCCAACUCAAGCACGCACAGCAGCUGUUUUGCAGCACAGCAGCUGUUUUGCCGAGGCUCCUGGAGUCCCACUGUAACCGGUAACUUUUUGGUCUGCAGGGUCAAUCAACUGCCCUCAGUCUGUGCAGCCGCCUCAAUGCCUGGCUUAGAGAAGUGUUUUUCCCCUCAACUCUUUGCCGUAGAGGACAUCCAAGUUGUCUCCCGUUUCUGGCUAUCAAGAAUGGCGCAGCAAUGAAUGUGGUUGAGCAAGUGUCCCUGCAGCAAGAUGAAGAAUAAUUUGGGUAUAUGGCUAUGCAGGAUCUUGAGAAAAAGGUCCCUCGUCUAAUCUCCUUUGAUUAGUCUCCUCUCUGACCAUGACCAAUUUACAACCUGAAUGAUGAUAAACAUCCAUGAUCCACCAAAUGAACAAAAGACACCCACCACACCUCUUGUGAAUAUGGGCAUCAAUAUCUGAUCUUUAUCAAUUUUGAAGAAAUCCAUAGCUUUUUGUUUCCUGUAGAACAAAAGCAUAACCCCUCUCUGUCCAAAAGUCUUGCCUAUUUUCCACUGUCUAGCUAUCAACCACUCAG